rnacentral:rRNA from 1 species
CAUGCAGUCGAACGAAGAACUGGAAGCUUGCUUCCGGGGACGAGUGGCGAAAGGGUGAGUAACGCGUGAGUAACCUGCCCUCAAGUUUGGAAUAACGUCGGGAAACUGGCGCUAAUACCGGAUGUGGUUAUAAAGUCGCAUGGCUUUUUAACUAAAGAUUUAUCGCUUGAGGAUGGGCUCGCGUCCCAUUAGCUAGUUGGUGAGGUAACGGCCCACCAAGGCAACGAUGGGUAGGUGGUCUGAGAGGAUGGUCACCCACACUGGGACUGAGACACUGCCCAGACUCCUACGGGAGGCUGCAGUCGAGAAUCUUCCGCAAUGCGCGAAAGCGUGACGGAGCGAUGCCGCGUGGUCGAUGAAGGCCUUCGGGUUGUAAAGACCUGUCACAUGGGACGAAUUUUGACGGUACCAUGAGAGGAAGCCACGGCUAACUACGUGCCAGCAGCCGCGGUAAUACGUAGGUGGCGAGCGUUGUUCGGAUUUAUUGGGCGUAAAGGGUCCGCAGGGGGUUUGCUAAGUCUGAUGUGAAAUCCCGGAGCUCAACUCCGGAACUGCAUUGGAAACUGGCGAACUAGAGUGCUGGAGAGGUAAGCGGAAUUCCUGGUGUAGCGGUGGAAUGCGUAGAUAUCAGGAAGAACACCGAGAGCGAAGGCAGCUUACUGGACAGUUACUGACCCUCAGGGACGAAAGCGUGGGGAGCAAACAGGAUUAGAUACCCUGGUAGUCCACGCCGUAAACGUUGUGAACUUGUUGUGGGGGGAUUUAGCCCC